AUACUUGCUUCAGCAGCAUCUCUGCUACAAUUGAAAGAGUACAGAGAAAGUUAGCGUGGUCUCUGAGCAAGAUGGCAUGCAAAUUUACUGUUUUCCAUAUGUUU
ensembl:snRNA U6 U6 spliceosomal RNA